GAAUUCGUGGUGGAAUGGUUAGCACACUCGACACGUAUUCGAGAGGUACAAGUUCGAGUCCCGACGAGUGCA
rnacentral:tRNA from 1 species